rnacentral:rRNA from 1 species
CCUACGGGAGGCAGCAGUAGGGAAUUUUCGUCAAUGGGCGCAAGCCUGAACGAGCGAUGCCGCGUGAGUGAAGAAGGCCUUCGGGUCGUAAAGCUCUGUUGCGGGGGUAAAAAGGCAGCAUCAGGAAAUGGGUGCUGACUGAUGGUGCCCCGCCAGAAAGUCACGGCUAACUACGUGCCAGCAGCCGCGGUAAUACGUAGGUGGCGAGCGUUAUCCGGAAGGAUUGGGCGUAAAGGGUCCGCAGGCGGUCCUGCAAGUCUGGAGUGAAACGCAUGAGCUCAACUCAUGCAUGGCUUUGGAACCUGGAGGACUGGAGAGCAGGAGAGGGCGGUGGAACUCCAUGUGUAGCGGUAAAAUGCGUAGAUAUAUGGAAGAACACCAGUGGCGAAGGCGGCCGCCUGGCCUGUUGCUGACGCUGAGGCACGAAAGCGUGGGGAGCAAAUAGGAUUAGAUACCCUUGUAGUC